rnacentral:rRNA from 1 species
GGAUUAGAUACCCGGGUAGUCCACGCCCUAAACGAUGCGAACUGGAUGUUGGGUUCAACUUGGAACCCAGUAUCGAAGCUAACGCGUUAAGUUCGCCGCCUGGGGAGUACGGUCGCAAGACUGAAACUCAAAGGAAUUGACGGGGGCCCGCACAAGCGGUGGAGUAUGUGGUUUAAUUCGAUGCAACGCGAAGAACCUUACCUGGUCUUGACAUCCACGGAACUUUCCAGAGAUGGAUUGGUGCCUUCGGGAACCGUGAGACAGGUGCUGCAUGGCUGUCGUCAGCUCGUGUCGUGAGAUGUUGGGUUAAGUCCCGCAACGAGCGCAACCCUUGCCCUUAUUUGCCAGCACGUAAUGGUGGGAACUCUAAGGGGACCGCCGGUGACAAACCGGA